rnacentral:rRNA from 1 species
AGAUUAAGUUAUUAAGGGCGCACGGUGGAUGCCUUGGCACUAGAAGCCGAUGAAGGACGUUACUAACGACGAUAUGCUUUGGGUAGCUGUAAGUAAGCGUUGAUCCAGAGAUUUCCGAAUGGGGGAACCCAGCAUGAGUUAUGUCAUGUUAUCGACAUGUGAAUUUAUAGCAUGUCAGAAGGCAGACCCGGAGAACUGAAACAUCUUAGUACCCGGAGGAAGAGAAAGAAAAAUCGAUUCCCUGAGUAGCGGCGAGCGAAACGGGAAGAGCCCAAACCAACAAGCUUGCUUGUUGGGGUUGUAGGACACUCUAUACGGAGUUACAAAAGAACAUGUUAGACGAAUCAUCUGGAAAGAUGAAUCAAAGAAGGUAAUAAUCCUGUAGUCGAAAACAUAUUCUCUCUUGAGUGGAUCCUGAGUACGACGGAGCACGUGAAAUUCCGUCGGAAUCUGGGAGGACCAUCUCCUAAGGCUAAAUACUCUCUAGUGACCGAUAGUGAACCAGUACCGUGAGGGAAAGGUGAAAAGUACCCCGGAAGGGGAGUGAAAGAGAACUUGAAACCGUGUGCUUACAAGUAGUCAGAGCCCGUUAAUGGGUGAUGGCGUGCCUUUUGUAGAAUGAACCGGCGAGUUACGAUCUGAUGCAAGGUUAAGCAGCA